rnacentral:rRNA from 2 species
ACCAUGCAGUCGAACGAUGAUGCCCAGCUUGCUGGGUGGAUUAGUGGCGAACGGGUGAGUAACACGUGAGUAACCUGCCCCUGACUCUGGGAUAAGCGUUGGAAACGACGUCUAAUACUGGAUAUGACUGCCGGCCGCAUGGUCUGGUGGUGGAAAGAUUUUUUGGUUGGGGAUGGACUCGCGGCCUAUCAGCUUGUUGGUGAGGUAAUGGCUCACCAAGGCGACGACGGGUAGCCGGCCUGAGAGGGUGACCGGCCACACUGGGACUGAGACACGGCCCAGACUCCUACGGGAGGCAGCAGUGGGGAAUAUUGCACAAUGGGCGAAAGCCUGAUGCAGCAACGCCGCGUGAGGGAUGACGGCCUUCGGGUUGUAAAACCCUCUUUUAGUAGGGAAGAAGCGUAAGUGACGGUACCUGCAGAAAAAAGCACCGGGCUAACUACGUGCCAGCAGCCGCGGUAAUACGUAGGGUGCAAGCGUUGUCCGGGAAUUAUUGGGCGUAAAGAGCUCGUAGGCGGUUUGUCGCGUCUGCUGUGAAAUCCCGAGGCUCAACCUCGGGCUUGCAGUGGGUACGGGCAGACUAGAGUGCGGUAGGGGAGAUUGGAAUUCCUGGUGUAGCGGUGGAAUGCGCAGAUAUCAGGAGGAACACCGAUGGCGAAGGCAGAUCUCUGGGCCGUAACUGACGCUGAGGAGCGAAAGCGUGGGGAGCGAACAGGAUUAGAUACCCUGGUAGUCCACGCCGUAAACGUUGGGCGCUAGAUGUAGGGACCUUUCCACGGUUUCUGUGUCGUAGCUAACGCAUUAAGCGCCCCGCCUGGGGAGUACGGCCGCAAGGCUAAAACUCAAAGGAAUUGACGGGGGCCCGCACAAGCGGCGGAGCAUGCGGAUUAAUUCGAUGCAACGCGAAGAACCUUACCAAGGCUUGACAUACACCGGAAACAGCCAGAGAUGGUUGCCCCCUUGUGGUCGGUGUACAGGUGGUGCAUGGUUGUCGUCAGCUCGUGUCGUGAGAUGUUGGGUUAAGUCCCGCAACGAGCGCAACCCUCGUUCUAUGUUGCCAGCGCGUUAUGGCGGGGACUCAUAGGAGACUGCCGGGGUCAACUCGGAGGAAGGUGGGGAUGACGUCAAAUCAUCAUGCCCCUUAUGUCUUGGGCUUCACGCAUGCUACAAUGGCCGGUACAAAGGGCUGCGAUACCGUAAGGUGGAGCGAAUCCCAAAAAGCCGGUCUCAGUUCGGAUUGAGGUCUGCAACUCGACCUCAUGAAGUCGGAGUCGCUAGUAAUCGCAGAUCAGCAACGCUGCGGUGAAUACGUUCCCGGGCCUUGUACACACCGCCCGUCAAGUCAUGAAAGUCGGUAACACCCGAAGCCGGUGGCCUAACCCUUGUGGAAGGAGCCGUCGAAGGUGAUUC